GGCUUGGUCAGCCUGCUCUUUUAUAGAAGGAAGACUAGCAGCCCAGAGAUGGCACCACCCACAAGGGGACCUCCUCCCUUGAUCACUAAUUGAGAAAAUGCCUUACAGCUGGAUCUCCUGGAGGCAUUUCCCCUACUGAAACUCCUUUCUCUCUGAGAACUACAGCCUGUGUCAAGUUGACACAAAACUAGCCAUUACAAAGUGGGUGCCCUGAAUUUGGGGCAUAGAUGUUCAGAAUUGAGACUUUGUUUUGGUGGAUUUUUUCCUUUGAUGAGUAUGAAUUCUUCCUCAUCUUUUUUUUUAACUAUUUGUGGUUGAAAUAUUAUUUUAUUGGAUAUUAGGAUGGCUCCAGGAAGGAGGAAUUAUCUUUGCUGUCUUCACUACUGCAGCUGCAUUCACCACUGCUGUAGGUUUUGUUGCUCCAAGAUGCAUUAUGCUGAGUCAUACCUGGCUGAGCUGGUGGGAGGCUGACUUGCCAGGGAGAGGUGGUAGGGAGCUU
rnacentral:lncRNA from 1 species